UGAAACUUCGGUCGAUAUGAUUUAAUUCUAGUGGCGGACGGGUGAGUAACGCGUGGGUAACCUGCCUUGUACAGGGGGAUAACAGUCAGAAAUGGCUGCUAAUACCGCAUAAGCGCACAGGACCGCAUGGUCCGGUGUGAAAAACUCCGGUGGUAUAAGAUGGACCCGCGUUGGAUUAGCUUGUUGGCAGGGUAACGGCCUACCAAGGCGACGAUCCAUAGCCGGCCUGAGAGGGUGAACGGCCACAUUGGGACUGAGACACGGCCCAGACUCCUACGGGAGGCAGCAGUGGGGAAUAUUGCACAAUGGGGGAAACCCUGAUGCAGCGACGCCGCGUGAAGGAAGAAGUAUCUCGGUAUGUAAACUUCUAUCAGCAGGGAAGAAAAUGACGGUACCUGACUAAGAAGCCCCGGCUAACUACGUGCCAGCAGCCGCGGUAAUACGUAGGGGGCAAGCGUUAUCCGGAUUUACUGGGUGUAAAGGGAGCGUAGACGGAUGGACAAGUCUGAUGUGAAAGGCUGGGGCUCAACCCCGGGACUGCAUUGGAAACUGCCCAUCUUGAGUGCCGGAGAGGUAAGCGGAAUUCCUAGUGUAGCGGUGAAAUGCGUAGAUAUUAGGAGGA
rnacentral:rRNA from 1 species